AAAAUGUUUUCAAACAUUUCAGAAAACACAAAACAUUAGAAAAUAGACGCGCGACGUUAACAUUUGUGGUAACCAUAGCAACAGUUUGCCGCUCCAGCUAAUUUUCGUUAAGAUGCCCAAUCGGACAUCGACUAAACAUAAAAGUGCGAUUUACUUGCAAAAGAGAAGACAAGUUAACAAAUGAAAGAAACAAGUGGAACAAAGGUGAAGAGAAAUGAAAGAAAACUACUUGUCACUGAUAAACGACGUGACAAGAGACACACUGAACGUGACCGAUACAAACUGCCAGGAUUGGGAAAGGUCCAUGAGCUACGACUCAAACCCGGGAUGCCCAAAAGCACAACAACGCUAUAUGUCGUCGUGGUGCCCACGAGGCUAUUGGCACAGACAUAAAUGUCACUUUUGAUCAAUUUUAAUGCAUUCUUGUUGAAUAAAAGCUUUUUUAUAGAUAUAUAUAUUUUACUGACCCCAGACUCUUGAUUGGUAAUGUACAAUAUCUUCCGACUAAGCAUACGAAUAUUU